rnacentral:rRNA from 1 species
UAACUUUGAGCGGUGGAUCACUCGGCUCGUGCGUCGAUGAAGAAGCGCAAGCCAGCUUGCGUUGAAUUAAUGUGAAUUGCAGAACACA